UGUGGGAGCAGGAUUUGGUUUGCAGAAGGAGAGCUGCAGACCAAGUCCAAAAACACUUGAGGCAGCCAUUUGCUUUCACAAUCAACAACUCCUCCUUUCAAUAAAAACACGUACAUAAAACACAAACGACUUACACUGCAUUCAGUGCAAACUGUCACGUUCGGAAGGCAUUGUGAUGCGUGGGGAUGUCAACUCAAGAUGCACGGGACCAGACAAGCAAGUUAGCAGAUGGAGUCGCGGGGGCAGCAGUCAAAGCAGGGAAGCUUUCCACCAUUAUGGCCUCUGUCUAUGGAACAGCUUGCCGGAGGACCUCAGGGCUGCGGAGAACGUUCAUGUUUUAAAGAGCCAGCUUGAGAGCCACCUUUUUUGAUUCGGCUUUUACCUGAUAUUUCAUUGAAGUCAUUUUUAUUUUACUUUUUAUCCUGUUAGUUAUACAAAAUUGUAUUUAGUUAUAUUUAUUUACUGUAUAUUCAUUUUAUUUUCUUAUAAAUUUUCAUGUCUUAGUUGUAUUUGAUUCUUUAUCUUUACACAUGGUUGUUGCUAUUAUACAAGUUGUAUUAUUUUUACUUUCCAGCAUUCCUCAGAGGGAGCCAACUGCCUCAGGGGUUAUCGGCCGUGCUUGUUUCAGCGUCCUGGUGGCCAUGGUCUGAUGACCUCCUGGUGCAGAUGGCUCCUGUGAUAGUGUUUACUCACAUGUCUCCUCUGUACUCAGCCAUGCAAUCAUUGGUCCACAUAGGUGCAUAUGUGCGUAUGUUGUGUGUGUGUGCGUGUUUGUCUGGUAUCUGUAUCCGUGCGUACGUAUGUGAAAAUAAGGAAUAUGGGUCAUCGGGGUAUUUAUUUUUAACUUUGUAAAGCCUUUUGCGUUGCAUUUCAUUUAUGCAUGAAAAGCACUUUAUAGUUUGAUUGAUUGACAUCACUAAUUUUUCAUAUUUUGGACAUGUCAAAGCAAGGCUAAGACAUUCCUUAACAAUUUAGUUGUAUAUUAAAAUGAAGUCAUUAAGCAUUAAAACAAUGUUUAUGAUAGUCAAAGAUCCUCUGAAUGACAAAAGGGCUUAGUACAAGAACGCUGGUCAAAGACCCUCUUUAACUUCCACAAUAAAGAGCCAACGUCCUCUUUUGAGUUUAUUUACACAAUUUGGAAAACAUGUGCACACAAAACUGUCUACUACAGAGGAUCAUGGAUCUGUGUCUGAAGGACUGACAGCAAAAAGGCUAAUUGGUGAUGAGUAAACGGCACCUUAGCGAUUGCGUGGCACACUCACUAGGUGUAUCGACACUGCACUGAUACUGUUUCAUAAUGUCACCAUGUGCUGGAUGUCAAGUCUCUACAUUUGACCUGAAAAUAAAAAUAGUUGGCAACCA